rnacentral:rRNA from 1 species
AAUAGAUACCCUGGUAGUCCACGCCGUAAAACGGUGGGCACUAGGUGUGGGCGACAUUCCACGUCGUCCGUGCCGCAGCUAACGCAUUAAGUGCCCCGCCUGGGGAGUACGGCCGCAAGGCUAAAAACUCAAAGGAAUUGACGGGGGGCCCGCACAAGCGGCGGAGCAUGUGGCUUAAUUCGACGCAACGCGAAGAACCUUACCAAGGCUUGACAUACACCGGAAAACCCUGGAGACAGGGUCCCCCUUGUGGUCGGUGUACAGGUGGUGCAUGGCUGUCGUCAGCUCGUGUCGUGAGAUGUUGGGUUAAGUCCCGCAACGAGCGCAACCCUUGUCCCGUGUUGCCAGCAGGCCCUUGUGGUGCUGGGGACUCACGGGAGACCGCCGGGGUCAACUCGGAGGAAGGUGGGGACGACGUCAAGUCAUCAUGCCCCUUAUGUCUUGGGCUGCACACGUGCUACAAUGGCCGGUACAAUGAGCUGCGAUACCGCGAGGUGGAGCGAAUCGUCAAAAAGCCGAUCUCAGUUCGGAUUGGGGUCUGCUAACCG